rnacentral:rRNA from 1 species
UAAGACGAACCGUCCAAACGUUAUUCGGAAUCACUGGGCUUACAGAGUUCGUAGGCGGUCCCAAAAGUUAGGUGUGAAAUCCCUCGGCUCAACCGAGGAACUGCGCUUAAAACUGUGGGACUCGAGGGAGAUAGAGGAAAGCGGAACUGAUGGUGGAGCGGUGAAAUGCGUUGAUAUCAUCAGGAACACCGGUGGCGAAGGCGGCUUUCUGGGUCUUACCUGACGCUGAGGAACGAAAGCCAGGGGAGCGAACGGG